AUGAUUUAAAUGAGUUUUAGCAAGUCCUCAUUGCUUGUCAAAUAUGUAGAAACUUUGGAAGCAAAACUGGUUCGGAGAUGGUCAAGCUUCACAGUUAGGAUGGUUAUGGUGGGCACCAAUGUUGGCUCGAAUUUAGCCUAUUACCCAAAAACAUUUAAAAUUCAACUUAGAAGCCAAUACUCACAUCUACCUCUGAGACCAGUUGGAGAUAGAAAAAAUACACCAGCCGUGAGUGAGAAGAAGCAAGGGUCCAGCUUUAUUGUUCCAUUCCACCACACGAGAUCCACACCGAUGAGAAUUCUCAGAAGUGAUCCCCCCUACCCUGAGCUUAAGCUCCAGUAUUUAUACUGUAUUUACACACUAGAUAACCCAUAGGUUUCCAGAAAAGGCCUAUUUCACUUACCCAUAGAAUUGAAACCCGGGGUUUUACUUUACACAUAAAAUCAGAACUCAGGCAUUUCCAACAACCCAGGAAACAAAAACCCAGUGUUUCUAUUUACCUAGGUUUUCAAAAACCAGGGUUCUCUUUUACCUAGGUCUUCAAAAACCAGGGUUCUCCCUUACCUAGGUCUUCAGAAACCAUGAUUCCCAUUUCCCUAGGUAAUAAAAAUGACGUAAGCAAGACGACUAAACAACCGGGAGGGACCUUGGUCUUAUCGUUAUCUCGAGGGGGGGGCAGCCACCCUUAUAACUGGCUUUCUUCAUGGUUCUCUAAAAAUUAAGGCUUUCCUUGCGAGACGAGAAUCUUCACCAUCUGAAUCAUGAUGCCUUGGAGAUUGGGCGCAUGGUUGCAACAUAUUCAGUCAAGAAAGCAAGUUCUGCAGGUCUGAACCUGUCACACAGUAAUCGUGCCAUAGCAAGAAACAGGGAGUUCCACCCGGUGUCAUUUGGGCGGAUGAGUUGGAGCUUGCAUUCCUUUUCAAUCAGCUCCGCAGCUAUGGUGGAGCGAGCACUUAGCACUUAGCAAAUGCUGCAUGUGAAGUUUUUUUGUAGAUCUCGUUUGAGUUUGCUUUUGUGGCGUCCAAUGUUGAGGUCAGGUUAAGAAGAUGACAAGCACAACGGUGAUUCUUUGGAAGCUGAUAUUCCGAACAACCAUCUUCAUGAGAGCUUCUACCUCAACACGCUCUGCCUCCACUCCCAGAGUUUCAUGUUCCUCACUGUCAUUCACGACCAUUACCUUCUCCCCUACUGCUGAACGUCCUUCCACAAAUGGAUGCAUUGUCAGUGGUGGUCCCUAAUACUUCAAACAUGUGGGAUCCUGUUAGCCUCCUGCAAGCAAGAGCUAUGGAGCAUCUCUCUAUCCAGUGAGCGGUCACCCCAAUUAAACUCUGACAACGUGCAG